AAUCAUAUAUGUUCAAGCAGACUUGAAAUGUGGCAAGUUUUACAUCUGCCAUACCUUUUUUCCCCACUGCAGUAGGACAAAAAGACAAACUCAUCCAUUAAGAGUUUUUUUCCCUGCCAUUUUAAAGUUGCCAGAUCUGACUGAUCCUUUUACCAAACAGAAAAGCACUAUGGCAACUAGUAUAAUUGCUCACACUUACUUUGCAGAGCAGGUAACCACAACAGCAGCAGUUUUAAAAAAACAAAACACAUACUUUCAUCACCUGGAAGCCAAAGUUUAUAUGAGGCAAUCUUCCAAACAUAGCGUUAGAGAAAAAGAUUCGGCAGCAAUCUAUCCACUCAUGAAAGCCUAACAUGAAAAGCUGGAAUCUUUUCUUAUACUUCACAGCUUCUAACUGAAGUACAGAGGACAAAGAUUUUUGGUAAUAAUUACAGAAGCAGUGCAACAUAGAGUAAUUAAUUGAAGCGGACAUGUAACUUUCAUCAAAACUGGUUCGUCUAAACCUCUGGGAUUCCCUGAUAUUCUCCUAUCAAAAUACUAGUUAGGCCUAAUACUGCUUAGCUUUUCAAAAUCCUAGGAAUUUUCACUUCUCUUCUGAAGAAAAAUGUUCUGCCCGGACACUUUCUAUUAAAAUAUUGCUCAAUAUUCGAUAUUCAGUCAAAUUUCUUAACAAGUCAAAUCAGUCAAAUCAGUCAAAUUUCAGAACAAGAUAAGCAACCAGGAUCCUAGGAUUGCCUAUCUAUUUUCCUAAAUGCAGUUUAGGUACUUUUUGCAUUUAAAGUGCCAAGAGAUGUCUAUGAAUAAAUAUAAAUAUGUAUUACAUCACUCAUCUAGACCAUGAUCAAAUCAUUUAGUACAUCUGUUAAUAUAGGUAAUCCUGGACUUAACAACCAAAUAUGGGGCCAGAACUUCCCUCACUAAGCAAUGCCAUUUAGUGAGUCAUCCCUGAUUUUAUGACUUUUUGCCACUGUCAUUAAGAGAAUCAUAUGGUUAUGAUUUAAGCAAAUCUGCCUUUCCCCUUGACUUUCCUUGUUGAACACUCCCUUGGAAGGUUGUUAAGUGGACACCACAUGACUGCAUUGUAAAUACAUGCUGGUUGCCAAAAGCCCAAAGUUUGAUCACAUGACUGUGGGGAUCCUGCAAAGGUCCUAAGGACAGAUUGUAAGUCACUUUUUUUUAGCACUUCAUAAGUUGAAGACUGUCUGUUUGUCUAAGUUUCUGCAUUUCAUCUAGAGCCCUGUUCAAUACAACACUCCUCAUAGGAAGUUUAUUCAGAUUAUGCUAAUUAGGUCAAAGAUUGCAACCUCACAUAGCUACAUUUUUCUCUAGAACAGUGGUACUUAAACUGUUUGAUUCCAGACUGUUGUUCAGCAAAAUUGCAAACUAGAUGCUUGCAAUUCCGAGGAAUUUAAAAUUGCUUCAUAUGCCCAAAUUAUUGCCAUUUUAAGAAUCACCACCAAUAUGAGCUGAAGACCAGCAGCAGCCACAUCCCAUUGUUUAGGAUAGAGAAGAUGGAGGUUGGUUGAAAGUAAGGAAGGACAUACCACAAUCAUCUGCGUAUGAUCUACUAUAGUGGUAAACUUAAGAAAGUAAUUCAGAUAAGGGACUUAGUAGCAUGUGCACUAAUAUUUACCAUUCUGCUGCAGCACUAAGAUUGUUGUCAUUACCAGAAAUAUAUUUUGCUGCAAAAAUGUAUUGAUGAUGGUUAAGAACUUAUUAUAAAAACAUGGAAGUUCAUGUUUGAAUCAAUCAGUUUCUCUCUCAACCAACUUCCUUUCUUUUGCUGGAGGAAAAAACGGGAGAUGAAUGUGCUAUACACAGCCUAAACACAAACACACUCACACACACAAAUAAAGAUUGCAGAUGUACUUCACAAAGGGAGACCUAAGUGCAAAACUUAAUAGCAUGGGUAAUGUAUCUCUUGAUGCACUUGGCUAGUUUAUUUAACAAGUGCAAAUUAACUUCAAUUAUUCAUGAUGCUCCUUUGUGCCAACCAUUUUUUGAUUUAACAUAUCCUGCAAAAGUGAUAUGUUUUACUUCUGCAAGUAGUAUGAUUAAUCAUUAUUUUUUCUCAGUUAGCACAUUUGUCUUAUUGUCUUUACUAUAACAAUGCUCUUAUUUUGGAUUACAGCCCUUGUAUUUUCUAUGUCAGUAUGUAAACCCCUUCCUAGGGUGCAUAGCAUUCCAUCUCUUAACUAAGUACAAAUAAAUCAUGAGUUUACUGUAAUAUUAAUGUAUAAAACUAUUAAUUAGUAUACCAAUGCAAAAGGUGGUUUAUAUAAAUUGCAGCUUUAGAGGUAUUUCAGGUAAAUUUACUGAUAUAUUUUUCUAUUAUAUCUUUAACUUGAGUUAAAUCUCCUCCGAGUUUAACCCAAAAUCACUCAGUAAACUUCUGAGAUUGCCCACAAUGAUCAGCUGUGGCCUUUUCAGGGGCCCAAGAGAUGCCAUUCUGUUCCAUAAAUAUACCGUGUGUUGAAUCUGUAAUCCUCCUUUAUCAUGCUUCUAUAAUUCCCAGCAAUCUAGCCAGCCAGGCCCUUUGUGAGAAAUACUGAAGAGCCGUAUAUCUAUACAUCUAUGAAAUAGCACACAGUGUAGUUCCAACAGAGGACAAAGCUUCAGCUGUUGCUGCCGCUUUGAUGGUGGUCAAAUUAUAUUUUUAAAAGAGACCUAGAAUUGAAGACACAUACUUCAGAUUAAUACAACAGUCUCUGAGUGCUUAGGAAGAAUCUGUCUCAUCAUUCUAAUAAACAAAGUAAAGUGUUUUUCCCACCAUCACUUUAACAUGGGAUCAGAAAAUAAAAUAAAAAAAAUCACAAGUAUGAUAAAUGCUGGGGGACAAUUGCUGAAUUCUGUUAAAGGAAAUGUUGUUAUGCUGACCAAAGAAAUAAAAAAAUAGCAAAAAAAAUUGUGCAUCACUUUUAUAGAUCAACUCAACUAAUGCGCAGGUGUGAAAUUCCUCCAGAAUUCUUUAUCAGGCACAAUGAAGGUAAAUACAGCCAAUGAAAGGUACUGGAGGUGAUGGCUGACAUUUAAGCCUAUAUUCAGUUACCACUGUAAUUAACCAUAGAUAUUAAAUUUAGGCUGAAUUAGGCACUGAGCUAUUUUGUGUUGUAUCUAAAACUCUGCCAAGGGAUCCUGGGAUGACC